GAUCAUUUAAGGAUUUGAUGCUGGAUGCGCGAUAUCUGAAAGUUGAGGCGCCGCAGGAUGGGUCUGCGGCCGAUUAGGUAGUUGUUGGGGUAACGGCCCAACAAGCCUGUAAUCGGUACGGGUUGUGGGAGCAAGAGCCCGGAGAUGGAUUCUGAGACAUGAAUCCAGGCCCUACGGGGCGCAGCAGGCGCGAAAACUUUAUAAUGCGGGAAACCGUGAUAAGGGAACCCCGAGUGCCCGUAGAAUCGGGCUGUUGAUCUGUGUAAAAAGCAGGUAAAGAAAGGGCCGGGCAAGACCGGUGCCAGCCGCCGCGGUAAUACCGGCGGCUCGAGUGGUGGCCACUAUUACUGGGCUUAAAGCGUUCGUAGCUGGGUUGUUAAGUCUCUUGGGAAAUCCACCGGCUCAACCGAUGGGCGACCAGGGGAAACUGGCAUUCUAGGGACCGGGAGAGGUGAGAGGUACUCCAGGGGUAGGAGUGAAAUCCUGUAAUCCUUGGGGGACCACCGAUGGCGAAGGCAUCUCACCAGAACGGCUCCGACAGUGAGGAACGAAAGCUGGGGGAGCAAACCGGAUUAGAUACCCGGGUAGUCCCAGCUGUAAACGAUGCGCGUUAGGUGUAUCGGUGACCACGAGUUACCGAGGUGCCGAAG
rnacentral:rRNA from 1 species